rnacentral:lncRNA from 1 species
GAAUGUGAAAUCUGAUAGAGGUUUUCAGAGUGUGUUUAGAGUGUUGGGAGUGCAUUGGGAGUGUUCUUCAAUCCAUAGCUAGAGGACUCCUGAUAUCUCCAGGAGUGAUAAUGGCAGCCUUGGGCUGGCCUUCUGGGCAAGGUGGGUCUUUGCACUAAUCUUGCAUACUCGAAUGCCUCUGCUACCCCGAAGCUAGAGAGGAAGUGAUAGUCACUUGCAACCUAACAUUACAGCUGCCAGAAACAAGAUGAAGCCAACAGAGCAGACAAAGCCAACAAGCAUCAUUCUUGGUUUCUUGGAUCUGAAUCAACUCGACCCCAGAAGAGAAAAAGAAGCUCAUGACCAAUCCAGAAACCAAUUAAUUUUGAAAGGUAACGUUAGGGAGAUACUUGCGGAGACAGUUUGAUUUUGAGGGAACCUGAGGCUGUGCAAGUUGUGGUUGUGCAAACCUUAACACUGAGAGUGCAACAACCCCCACAGACUCAGACUCAUCCCCCCUGCCCCACUACCAACCAAGCAAGAGUAUCUCCAGAAACAUCAGCGCAAAGGGUUUGGUGAGACCAUGGCCAAUAUACACUGAGUGUACGAAACACAUGCUCUUUCCAUGACAUAGACUGACCAGGACUAUGCCUCAGCACUACCUGGCCUGAUGACUCCUUGCUGUCCCCAGUCCAACUGGUCGUGCUGCUGCUCCAGUUUCAACUGUUCUGCCUGCAGCUAUGGAACCCUGACCUGUUCACCAGACGUGCUACCUUGUCCCAGACCUGCUGGUUUCAACCCUCUAGAGACAGCAGGAGCGGUAGAGUCUGUUAUUUCUGCCUGUUUGGCCCUGUCCAGUAAGCCAGUGACUCAGCCCCUGUAAUAGGGUUUGAGGCAGAGAAUCCCAGUGGAGAG